rnacentral:rRNA from 1 species
UGGGAAUCUGCCCUUAGGUUCGGAAUAACAGUUAGAAAUGACUGCUAAUACCGGAUAAUGUCUUCGGACCAAAGAUUUAUUGCCUAAAGGAUGAGCCCGCGUAAGAUUGGCUUGUUGGUGAGGUAAAGGCUCACCAAGGCGACGGAUCUUUAGCUGGUCUGAGAGGAUGAUCAGCCACACUGGGACUGAGACACGGCCCAGACUCCUACGGGAGGCAG